rnacentral:lncRNA from 1 species
UCCUGAUUUGAACCAACUUGAAAACUGGGCCCAUAAACAAAAAUCUAAGUAUAUGUUUAGAUUCAGCAUAUCAAAAAAGCCCAAGAAUUCAAUUUUUGUUAAAAUCAAACUUAGUUUAAUUUUGGACCCUUUGGACUUUAAUGUAGACCAAUUUGAAAACGGGACCAAGAAUUAAGAAUCUACAUACACAGUUAGAUUUGGCAUAUCAAAGAACCCCAAUUAUUCAAUUUUUGAUGAAAUCAAACAAAGUUUAAUUUUGGACCCCGAUUUGGACCAACUUGAAAACUGGGCCAAUAAUCAAAAAUCUAAGUACAUUUUAAGAUUCAGCAUAUCAAAGAAGC